rnacentral:snoRNA from 1 species
AUCCUCCUGGUGCCUUCCACAGGCUGUGGUCUUGCAGCGACUCUAUAGAAAGAGGAGGCAGAGUCAACCUCCUCGUACGUACCUCAUCCCAGGCCUUGUAGCUGGCCUGAACUGUGAAUGGGGGGACAUAG